UUCUGGGGCGACCAUGGGCCGCGGGUUGUUAACGGCAACGGCACCGCCCCAGUUCGCCACCAGGAGGCGACAGGCCCCUCGGUGCACAGCGCUCCUUCCCCCCCCUCCCCCCGCCCGCAGAGGGGAGGGCGGCCUAGCGGCUAGGGCUGAGCCCCUCUCACCCCCAGGAGGUGGCAUUGCACACUCCGAUUGUGCUCUGGGCCAUGUUGCACACUCAGGAGUGCCCCCCUCUCACCCAGCCUGUGCCCUGGGGCCAUGUAGCACAAUUAGGCUGUGCCCACGUGCUGUAUCACAGUUCUAAUCAUUCCAAGCACAUCUAAACAUCACACCACCUCAUCCCUACAUGACUGUGAUCAGUGCGGAGGCUAGCAGAUGCUGCAAGGAUUAUGAAGGCUCCUGCCUAGUCCUGAAUUAACAGGGAGCAGACACCAGCCGGAGAAGGCUAUCAAACCUUCUCAGCCUGAGGACGGAGUGGGGCCAGCUGAAAUAGACAAAUGGCAACCCCACUGCAGAAACUCCUGGACACUAACAUCAAUCAGGUUCUUAAAAGAAGGAUUUAUUAUGAAGAAAGAAGUAAAAGAAUCACACCUGAAAAAUUAUGGAUGGAAGAUAUGGUGCUGGUACCCAAACCUGUAACUUCAGAGGAAGCUACAUACAACUGGGUCUGGAGAUCUGAGGACUCUGAGAAGAGCAGAAGCAGUACUGUGCACACAUCAUUAAUUUAUAUGUUGAUCCGUCUCCUCUUCCACAAU